UACGGGGGGGGCAAGCGUUGUUCGGAAUUACUGGGCGUAAAGGGCUCGUAGGCGGCCAACCAAGUCAGACGUGAAAUCCCUCGGCUUAACCGGGGAACUGCGUCUGAUACUGGAUGGCUUGAGUUUGGGAGAGGGACGCGGAAUUCCAGGUGUAGCGGUGAAAUGCGUAGAUAUCUGGAGGAACACCGGUGGCGAAGGCGGCGUCCUGGACCAACACUGACACUGAGGAGCGAAAGCCAGGGGAGCAAACGGG
rnacentral:rRNA from 1 species